AAGCAUAUGAUGAAAUACUCGGAUUCCCCUUCUGAAAAUCAUAUGGAUGAUGCAAGUUCGAGUUUCUGAUGCA